AGAGUUUGAUCAUGGCUCAGAACGAACGUUGGCGGCGUGGAUUAGGCAUGCAAGUCGAACGAGAACCACUGGGUAACUGGUGGGGAAAGUGGCGAAAGGGGCAGUAAUGCAUGGGUAACCUACCCUGGGGACUGGGAUAGCCAUCCUAACGGAUGGGUAAUACUGGGCGAUGUAAGCGAGGCGCCUGUCUUGCUUACCAAAUGAAUUUCGCCCUGGGAGGGGCUCAUGUGAUAUUAGCUUGUUGGUGAGGUAACGGCUCACCAAGGCAAAGAUGUCUAGCGGGUGUGAGAGCACGACCCGCGCCACUGGCACUGAGACACUGGCCAGACUCCUACGGGAGGCUGCAGUCGAGGAUCUUCGGCAAUGGGCGCAAGCCUGACCGAGCGACGCCGCGUGUGCGAAGAAGGCCUUCGGGUUGUAAAGCACUGUCGAGGGGGAGGAAGCUCCGCAAGGGGUUGACCUAUCCCUGGAGGAAGCACGGGCUAAGUUCGUGCCAGCAGCCGCGGUAAGACGAACCGUGCGAACGUUGUUCGGAAUCACUGGGCUUAAAGGGCGCGUAGGCGGUCGAUCAAGUCCGGGGUGAAAUCUUUCGGCUUAACCGGAAAAGUGCCUUGGAUACUGAUUGGCUGGAGGGAGGUAGGGGGAGCUGGAACUUCCAGUGGAGCGGUGAAAUGCGUUGAUAUUGGAAGGAACUCCGGUGGCGAAAGCGAGCUCCUGGACCUCUUCUGACGCUGAUGCGCGAAAGCUAGGGGAGCAAACGGGAUUAGAUACCCUCGUAGUCC
rnacentral:rRNA from 1 species